rnacentral:rRNA from 1 species
AGUUUGAUCAUGGCUCAGGAUGAACGCUGGCGGCGUGCUUAACACAUGCAAGUCGAGCGAUGAAGUUUCCUUCGGGAAACGGAUUAGCGGCGGACGGGUGAGUAACACGUGGGUAACCUGCCUCAUAGAGUGGAAUAGCCUUCCGAAAGGAAGAUUAAUACCGCAUAACGUUGAAAGAUGGCAUCAUCAUUCAACCAAAGGAGCAAUCCGCUAUGAGAUGGACCCGCGGCGCAUUAGCUAGUUGGUGGGGUAACGGCCUACCAAGGCGACGAUGCGUAGCCGACCUGAGAGGGUGAUCGGCCACAUUGGGACUGAGACACGGCCCAGACUCCUACGGGAGGCAGCAGUGGGGAAUAUUGCACAAUGGGGGAAACCCUGAUGCAGCAACGCCGCGUGAGUGAUGAAGGUUUUCGGAUCGUAAAGCUCUGUCUUUGGGGAAGAUAAUGACGGUACCCAAGGAGGAAGCCACGGCUAA